AACUUCUUCCUCAGCCCUUUUCUCGAUCAUCUCGAUCUUCUGGUCCUCAGCGCUUUUCUCUUCCUGACUGGGAGCUUCAGCACUCUCCAGCAACUGGCCCUGGCCUUGGUCCUGAGCCUUCUCGCCUUCUUCCCCGGCAGCCCCCGCCUCCGGGGUCUGCUCGGCUUCUGCCCCUGGGAUCUGCUUGUCCUCUGCCCCUGCAUCCCCCGCUUCCAAGCUCUGCUCGCCUUCAGUUCCCGGGGUCUGCUCGCCUUCUGCCCCGGCAGCCCCCGAUUCCGAGAUCUGCUCGCCUUCAGUCCUCGGAGUUUGUUCGUCUUCUGCCCCCGGGGUCUUCUCGCCCUCAGUCCCCCGGGUCUGCUCCCCUUCUGCUCCCGGAGUCUGUUCGCCUUCUGCCCCCGGGGUCUUCUCGCCCUCAGUCCCCCGGGUCUGCUCCCUUUCUGGCCUCGGAGUGUGUUCGCCUUCUGCCCCCGGGGUCUUCUCGCCCUCAGUCCCCCGGGUCUGCUCCCCUUCUGCUGCCGGAGUCUGUUCGCCUUCUUCCCCUGGUGUCUUCUCGCUCUCUGCCUCCGGGGUCUGCUCCCCUUCUGCUCCCGGAGUCUGUUUGCCUUCUGCCACUGGGGUCUUCUCGCCUUCAGUUCCCGCGGUUUGCACGCUUUCUGCCCAGGUAGGCCCCGCCUCCUGAGGGGCUGGUGCCCUGACUUCUCGUCGUUGCUCGCUCCCCUCGUCCUUGCGGGGCUCCCGUCCUGCGGGGCCCCUGGCCUGCUUCUUAGAGGCGGGCGGGGGUGGCGGGGCUGCUGGCUGCGCCGGGGGCUUGACUUCGCGCUUCAGCAGGCUGUAGCCCUGCACCUUCAGUGGCUCCCAGCUAUACCACACCCUCUCGUGCAUUAUCUCCACGCAUUUCCGGAUCUUGGAGGACGAAGACUGCGAGCUGGAGCCCGACGCCUUGGACUCGAGCCCGGGGGCGCGGUUGCUAGCCUUCGGCCGCGGCCGGGCCUGCUGCCAGGCGGACAGGCGGCGGCCCUUCACUCGCACUGCAGCGGAGCGGCGCUGGUGGGCGUGGCCUUGGCCCGGGCCCGGGUCGGCCAUCGAGGACCGCGGGCUCGGCGACGGUUUGGUCUUCGCCCGGGCCGAGGCCGGUUGCCGGAGCUCCACGCUCCACCAGUUCUGCCGGGGCGUCCGGGGCGCCGCCGCCGGUAG
rnacentral:lncRNA from 1 species